rnacentral:lncRNA from 1 species
AAACUGACUACAUGAAUACAGAUGAUGAGAGGGGGGACACUGAGUCGAGUCCAUCAGGGAAUGAGAUUUCCUCUUCCCUUUCUAAUGGAAGCAGCUAUUCCCACAAGGAGACAAGUGUUUCCUCCGACAGUGAGGAUGAACAGGAUGACCUGAUCAUAGACAAGAGGACACCAACACCUUCUCCUAGAAGUAGCUCCUUCUCCUCAUACAGCAGCAGUACAGACUCAGAGGAAGAAAGCCUCAGGUUACAAGGAAGUGCUUUUGAAAGGCCCAACCUGGAAGAGUCUAUGAGUAACAUGGAGACAAAUACAGCGAAAAGUACAAGCAGCAAGGACUCAGAAACCUCUCCUGUGGAGCAUUCUGAGCAAACAAAGCUUGAGAAGGACUUUGAAGCCGAUGAUAAGAGCGCACGUGAUGAUGGGGAGGAUGUAUCUUCCCUGUCAGAUGAAAGCAGUUAUUCCCACAAGGAUACUAGCGUGUACUCUGACAGUGAGGGCGAAGAGGACAAGACAGGUGAAUAAUGUUGCCGCUGU